CUCCAGCGCCACCUCGUAUCUCCUCAAUCCCGGCAUGUCCUGGGCUCCGAGCGUCUCCUGGGGGGCGGCAUGGUUGGAUCAAGGAGCACCCCCGCCCCAGCCCCAGGUCCCCUUCUUCGUCAUUUUCAGGACGAGUCUGACUAGCUCUCAGGCCCUCUCUUCCUACUCCAGUUUACCCCCUCCUGGCAAGCGAAUCAGUCCAGUAAGAAGAUGAGAACUGCCACACAGGAGGCCACGGGAUGGAUGGAGAUGGAUAAGUGGGCAGAAUCCCUGGGAGCAGCAGGUGCUUGGAUCACAUCAGAGUUCAGCCUGAGAGAUCAGAUGACUCCAGAAGGAGGCUGGUUACCAGAAAGACCA